rnacentral:lncRNA from 1 species
UCUCUCCUUUUUCCCUCCAUUUUCCCUCUCCUUUCCCCUCUCCCCGUUCCUUCUUCCCCGCAGGCGGCCGCGGCUGCACCGUCUACAGCGUCGUGGUCAACUCGGCCUUCUUCAGGACACUGCAGGUGAGCGGGGCCGGGGGCUCGGUGGGCACCUGGGGGGCACUUGGGGGGCUCUGACCCCGUGGCCCCCCAGGCCGACCCACUGUACCUCGAGUUCUUCCUCACCGUGGCCAUGGAGGGGCUGUCGGAGAAGUACGGGCUGGAGCUGGAGCUGACUGGUGAGACUGGAGGGCACUGGGGGGCACUGGGGGUGCUGGGGGGCACUGGGGAGAAAUGGGGGGCACUGGGGCGUGCUGGGGGGCACUGGGGUAGGGCUGGACCCCCCCGAGCCCCCCCGCUCCCCAGGCUGGUGCGUGCUGCGGAACCGCAAAUUCCUGGGCUCCAUCUCGGCCCAGAACAUCCGGGCCCGGCCCCGGCCCCACAUCCAGGAGCUCCCAAGGUGAGUGGGGACCCCCCGGGACCCCUCCCCGAAAAUCCCCGUGGCCCUCCCAGCCUCAGCUGUGUCCCCCUGCAGCCCCCCGGAUCCCCCCCAGUUCGUGGUGGUGGCCGAGCCCACGGCCCGGGACCCGCAAGUGCUGCAGGCCCGGGUGCACCUGCCCCAGGUGGUUCUCACCGUGACGAUGCCGCUGCGGGCGUGAGGGACGGGGGACCCUCAGCCCCACCGCGGGACCCCCCCAGAGCGACCAGGAUCGUCCGGGACCUUCCCCAGCAUUGUCCAGGACUCUCCCCAGCAUCGCUCGGGACCCCCUGGAGUUCCCCAGCUCAGGACUGGCCUGUGGGGACGCCCUUCAGGACCCUCUUGGGAUCUCUUUGGGGCUCCUCCGGGACCCUCCUGGAUCCCCAGGAUCCCCCUGGACCCCCCAGCUCAAGGCUGGCCUGGACUUCCCUGUGGGGCCACCCUUCGGGACCCUCCUGGGGUCUCUUUGGGGCUCCCCUGGUCCCCUCCUUUUCCCCCCUAGGCCCCUCUUCCCACCCUCCACAUCCCCCUACCCCGUGCUCCCCUCGGCCCCCCCUCUGCUCCCCCAUCUUUUUUGGUACGAAACCCC